rnacentral:rRNA from 1 species
AGUGAACGCUGGCGGUAGGCCUAACACAUGCAAGUCGAACGGCAGCACAGUAAGAGCUUGCUCUUACGGGUGGCGAGUGGCGGACGGGUGAGGAAUACAUCGGAAUCUACUUUUUCGUGGGGGAUAACGUAGGGGAACUUACGCUAAUACCGCAUACGACCUACGGGUGAAAGCAGGGGAUCUUCGGACCUUGCGCGAUUGAAUGAGCCGAUGUCGGAUUAGAUAGUUGGCGGGGUAAAGGCCCACCAAGGCGACGAUCCGUAGCUGGUCUGAGAGGAUGAUCAGCCACACUGGAACUGAGACACGGUCCAGACUCCUACGGGAGGCAGCAGUGGGGAAUAUUGGACAAUGGGCGGAAGCAUGAUCCAGCCAUACCGCGUGGGUGAAGAAGGCCUUCGGGUUGUAAAGCCCUUUUGUUGGGAAAGAAAAGCAGCAGGUUAAUACCCCGCUGUUCUGACGGUACCCAAAGAAUAAGCACCGGCUAACUUCGUG